AUGGGCGCCCCGGGUCCAGGGCCCGCGGAGCCGCUCUCGGGGCGGAGACCUUGCCCCCAGGGGCACGUCAGCGGUCCUGAGGUGAGGCUCCUGCAGAGCACUCUGGGCCGCGUGUGUCUCUCCCUGCGUGGGCAGGCAGUGUCGGUGGCCGGAGCGAGGGUGUUUUCCCAUCGGGGUGAGAGGGAGAGCCCCAGGGUGGGCCUGGGGGCGGAAUCGGACUCGGGGUUGGGGUGGACUCUUCUGAAGCUGGGAGGGGUGCGGGUGGGCAGGGCCUUAGGGAGCCUGAGGGAGGCGCGGUUCCUGGGGGAAGGGUGUGGCGAGGCGGCGGCAGCCCGCGUGCGCUGUGGCGCCCCAGCGAAGGGGCAGUGCUGGCCACUCGUGUGGCCCUUUGGCUGCUGGCACCCAGUGAGAGGGGGGAGGCCAGGGACAGGUGGCAGCCAGGCUGCCCACAGGCCCUGGGCGGUGGGGGGCCCGGCCCCUGUGCCUUGGGCAGCCUGGCCCCUUGCUGAGGCGUGCUUGCGCGUGUCCGUUGUCGCCCUCACCCAGCUGCUGCGGCGGAGAGACGGAGGCCAGCGCGGGGAGCGGAAGCCGGAGCCUGUCGGGAGCGACCCCGGGAAGGCCAGUCCCUCCUGCCGGUGGGAGGCGUGUUGGCGUGCGGCCGGUGGCGGGAUCGAUGGCCACCUGGUAGGCGAUGCUGCUGCGGCGGAGAGACGGAGGCCAGCGCGGGGAGCGGAAGCCGGAGCCUGUCGGGAGCGACCCCGGGAAGGCCAGUCCCUCCUGCCGGAGGGAGGCGUGUUGGCGUGCGGCCGGUGGCGGGAUCGAUGGCCACCUGGUAGGCGAUGCUGCUGCGGCGGAGAGACGGAGGCCAGCGCGGGGAGCGGAAGCCGGAGCCUGUCGGGAGCGACCCCGGGAAGGCCAGUCCCUCCUGCCGGAGGGAGGCGUGUUGGCGUGCGGCCGGUGGCGGGAUCGAUGGCCACCUGGUAGGCGAUGGUAAGCGGCAGUGGCCUGCGCCAAGGUAGCCCCCGGGGGCGGUGUGUGGCGCCCGGACCCGCACCCUCUGCUCCCGGGGGUGGAGCUGACCUGCUUGCCCGCGGUUGGGCUCGGGAGCCUGCGGGCCGCGGCCAGGAGGGAGCUGGCUGGCCGUCCCGGCGGUGGGGGCUGUGGCGGUGGCCGUCCCGCGGGUGUGCCCGUGCUCGGAUCGAUGAUGACACCCACAAACGCAUUCCUUGGAAAAUCUGAACAAAAUGAGUGAGAACUCACUACCGUCUCCUCAUCGCAAACUGAGGUCCGGCACGUGGCUCCCACAGGGGACGUCGGGGGAGGGUCCCGUUGCCUUGGCUCCCUUGGGUGCGUGCAGCCCUGGGGCGCAGGUGGGGGCAGGCAGGCCUCCGGUGGCCGCGGAGGGCCAUGGGGAGAGGAGCCUUGGGGCUGGCCUCCUCGAGGGCAGCCCCGGGGCCCCGGGGCCCCGGUGCCCGGCGGGAAAGCCUUGGGAGUGGCAGGCCCAGUGUGGGGUGGGCUGCCUGCGGUGUGUGUGAGCGCCGCUGGGCUCUCAGGCCUGCGGCUGCCUCCGUGAGGCCUCCGCGGGGUCCUGCCCGCGGUGUCGGGCGCAGAGGCUGUCUGUAGGUUGCGGGUGAGCAGCGGGGGCCUUGGCCUCGGCGGGACUGCCGACCCAGGUUCUGGUGGGGAGAGAGGAGGCCGGCCGGGGGGCCUUGCCGAGAUGGCCGUUUGGGCGGGGUCGGACGCCUUGGCCUGGGCCUUCACGGGGUCGGCGGGGCUGCCAGUGCCUUUCCCUCGCAGAGUCCUUGGUGGUCAUCGAGAACCCUGGAGCCCCUGCGGCAUUUCCCAGAGACGUGGAGGCGGUGGGGCGCCAGGUGGCCCUGGGCGGUGCCGAGUCGGCCGCGGACUGGGGUCGAGAGAAGUGCAGGAGGGCCAGAGGUCCUGGGCCAGUGUGCGCAGAGCACCGUGAGGGGGAGUGUUGGGUGCCCGGGGCGGCAGUGCCUUCAGGGCGGCCUGGGCUAUGAUGUGGGAUAUCCUCAGAGAUUUGGGCGGCGCGUGGAAGGCAGGACGGAGGGGUCCCGGGCACGUGAAUGGGAGCUGGGUGCCUGUGCCCUGGCCGGUCAUGGGUGCCGGCGGGGCAGAGAAGUGUGAGCCCGCGGCCAGCUCCCGGGGCCGCUAAGGUGUCCACACACGGGGCUGGGCAUUGAGGCCGUGCGGCGCCCCUGCCCUGGCUGAGGCCGUGUUCCCGGGGAGGGAGGACAGGGAGUUGCGCAGUGGGAGGCAGUGUGAGGUUGAUACCCAGCAGAGCUAGCCACGCCUGCGGACUGGAGCCCAGCCGAGCUGGUGCCGGGCGGGAGCUGGUGGCAAGGAGGGAGUCUGCUGUGGAGGAAAGGGGGCAGGUGGCGGCGGAAGGGGCGUGAGUUUCGGUGCGAGGGUCCCGCUGGGCCCAGGGUCUAGUGCGUCUCCCGUGGAGAUGCUGGUGCUGGAGGUAGGGAGGCCUGGGUGUGCAUGGGUGUGGCACGCAAAGGAGAGGGUCCCAUGGGGCCCGGCGGGCCUUCCGGUGCUGGCGGCGGGGCUGUGGCGUGUGCCUUGCGUGGGGCCCGAGCGCCCAACUGGUGGCAGGCUCCGGGCGCCCGGCGGCAGGCGGUCUGUGCGGGUUGCGUUGUGUCCGGUGGACAGGCGGCAGCCGUGGGGCGGGGUUUGGGGCAGGCAGGCCUCCGGUGUCCCCAGAGUGCCCCGGGGAGACCUGCCUGAGGGACCCAGGUCCCGCGCGCCAGGGGGCCUGGUGUGGCGGGCCUGGAGGGUGAAGGGCGAGCGACCCGAGCCCACAGCCUGGCGGCAGGGGACGCCCCUGGCCAUUGGCGGUCAGGGCGAGGUGCGGCCCUGCGGGGUCUCGCCAGGCUCCAGGGCCCUUGGGGUCCCGGAGGGUCCAGCAGAAGGGUCUGUGUUUUGCCCGGGGUCCUGAGAGCGUGCUGGGGAUAGCAGGGGUGGAGUGCAGGUGUGCCCAUGGGCGCCCCGGGUCCAGGGCCCGCGGAGCCGCUCUCGGGGCGGAGACCUUGCCCCCAGGGGCACGUCAGCGGUCCUGAGGUGAGGCUCCUGCAGAGCACUCUGGGCCGCGUGUGUCUCUCCCUGCGUGGGCAGGCAGUGUCGGUGGCCGGAGCGAGGGUGUUUUCCCAUCGGGGUGAGGGGAGAGCCCCAGGGUGGGCCUGGGGGCGGAAUCGGACUCGGGGUUGGGGUGGACUCUUCUGAAGCUGGGAGGGGUGCGGGUGGGCAGGGCCUUAGGGAGCCUGAGGGAGGCGCGGUUCCUGGGGGAAGGGUGUGGCGAGGCGGCGGCAGCCCGCGUGGCGCUGUGGCGCCCCAGCGAAGGGGCAGUGCUGGCCACUCGUGUGGCCCUUUGGCUGCUGGCACCCAGUGAGAGGGGGGAGGCCAGGGACAGGUGGCAGCCAGGCUGCCCACAGGCCCUGGGCGGUGGGGGGCCCGGCCCCUGUGCCUUGGGCAGCCUGGCCCCUUGCUGAGGCGUGCUUGCGCGUGUCCGUUGUCGCCCUCACCCAGCUGCUGUGGCGGAGAACGGAGGCCAGCGCGGGGAGCGGAAGCCGGAGCCUGUCGGGAGCGACCCCGGGAAGGCCAGUCCCUCCUGCCGGAGGGAGGCGUGUUGGCGUGCGGCCGGUGGCGGGAUCGAUGGCCACCUGGUAGGCGAUGGUAAGCGGCAGUGGCCUGCGCCAAGGUAGCCCCCGGGGGGCGGUGUGUGGCGCCCGGACCCGCACCCUCUGCUCCCGGGGGUGGAGCUGACCUGCUUGCCCGCGGUUGGGCUCGGGAGCCUGCGGGCCGCGGCCAGGAGGGAGCUGGCUGGCCGUCCCGGCGGUGGGGGCUGUGGCGGUGGCCGUCCCGCGGGUGUGCCCGUGCUCGGAUCGAUGAUGACACCCACAAACGCAUUCCUUGGAAAAUCUGAACAAAAUGAGUGAGAACUCACUACCGUCUCCUCAUCGCAAACUGAGGUCCGGCACGUGGCUCCCACAGGGGACGUCGGGGGAGGGUCCCGUUGCCUUGGCUCCCUUGG
rnacentral:lncRNA from 9 species